rnacentral:lncRNA from 1 species
GCUUCAUCACAUAUCAGAUUCCAUUCCACUUUUAUUUUCCAUUAGGUAAUCAUCUCUUCCAUGGCCAUGUUUUGAUAUAUCUACGCUUGAUUACCAUGUUCAUCACCAUUAAUCCUUCCAUUUUCAUAUUUCUUUUUCUUAUUUAAAAUAUUUUCUUCGUCCAUAUUAUUACCCAAUUUUUUUUUCACUUUUCUUUACGUUAUAUUUAAUUUUAUAUAAUUUUUAUUUUCGU